UGGCGGUGGAUCUGCAUUCAGUCGAGUCGAGAACCCGCGAGGGGGGACAGCGGCAACGGGGUAGUAUUCGGAACGUGCCCAGAGGACGGGGAUAGCGGCGGGAAACUGCCGGUAAUACCCGAUGAUCUCGAGAGAGCAAAGUGUGUGAUUCCGCCUUUGGAGCGGCCGACAUUGUAUUAGCUAGUUGGCGGGGUAACGGCCCACCAAGGCUGUGAUGCCUAGGGGAUGUGAGAGCAUGAUCCCCACCAUUGGGACUGAGACACUGCCCAGACACCUACGGGUGGCUGCAGUCGAGAAUCUUCGUCAACUGGGCGAAAACCUGAACGAGCGACGCCGCGUGCGGGAUGAAGGCCUUUGGGUUUGUAAACCUGCUGUCGAGGGGGAUGAAGGCUUGAAAGUCAUCUUUCAAGUUUGACAGAGCCCUGGAGGAAGCACGGGCUAAGUUCGUGCCAGCAGCCGCGGUAAUACGAACUGUGCGAACGUUAUUCGGAAUCACUGGGCUUACAGGGUGCGUAGGCGGCUAUUCAGGUCAAGUGUGAAAGCCCCCGGCUCAAACG
rnacentral:rRNA from 1 species